rnacentral:lncRNA from 1 species
UGAUACCAAGGAAUUUCAUUAUAAUUCAUGAAUCCUGGGAGUUUACAUCUUUUAGAUCGAUCCCUGUGCAAUUUAUAUGACGGAAGCACAUCCAUCAACUCCCUUCCUUAUAUUUAGAAAAUGAUGCGCACCCACUAAACAUUUAUAGGUAAAAGCUGAACACUUUUAUUUACUUAAACUAGAUGGACAUCAUUCAUCGGUACAUCAAAAUGCCGUAGUCUUCUAUACUCGGCUAUACUUCAAAAGAUGACCGAUAUCUCCUCCAAUAGUCGUAUACUUAAAGUCCAUCGAUCAGUGUCGGCGUUCAAAAGUUCCUUCCUUUGCUAUCCUCCUCCUCGCGGUCAUAUCCAACCACUUGAUCCAUCUACCGGUGGUAGUGGCAGCAGAGGUAGCUUAUCUAGUUUGAAAUGUCAGUCCUCAAAUGGGUGAAUACAACCACUCAGCAGUAAAGAUCCACCAAAUUACACAAUGCAACAAGCAAGACAAUCAAGAUAUCACGAGUAAAGCACAUAUCAUCCAUGCAUUCGAGCAUACCUCACCUUACAUCCAUGCAUAUAUCACCAUACAACAUGCAUAUGUCACCAUGCACUUGUACUUAUAUCAUCAAGCAGCCAUGCAUAUUUCACUAUGUAUCGUGCAUAUACCACCAUGCACUUAUACAUAUAUCAUCAAGCAGCCGUACAUAUAUUACCAUGCAAUGUGCAUAUACCACCAUACACUUAUACAUAUAUCGUCAAGCAGCCAUGCAUAUAUCACCAUGCAACGUGCAUAUACCACCAUGCAUUUCAUGCUUGCAUUCCCAUGAGGUUCAUCCCAUGUUAUAUGUACACAUCUAUGCGCAUGAUUCAAUUUCAAUAUUUAUCUUUCACAAGGAUCUCAUCAUUUUUUUUUCUAGGGACCAAUGUUUGCCUUCCUCAUUUAUCGCUCGCACCCAAUCUGGUGUCACGAGGAACCUCUGGCACACACCUUUGACACCUCCGAGCAUCUCGCGUCCCACCUGGCAUCACGAGGAAUCUCCGGGGCUCGCCAAGAAAAUGGUUACCCCUACCCUCUAGGCAUGCAUCAUAAUACAACCCCUCUUCCUCUGGGCAUGUAUCAUAAUACAACCGGGCAUCCCGACACUUUUGAGGAAAACCUCUGGGCAUGUAUUCGUAAUACAACCAGGCAUCCAAAGGGCAUUGACUCAUUUGAACCUCUGGGCAUCCCGACUCUCGGGGCAUCGUCGGCUCACACCUCUGACGGUAUCAUCAUUAUCACAAUGUAUAUUCACAUCAUGUCUCAUUUUCAACAUGGCAUUUGAUGCAAUAAUAUCAAAGGUCUAAAUCAGCUUUUUGAUGUCAGGUAACAUACCAUAUGUCACUACAUAUGCAACAUAAUCAACCACUCAAGACAUUAUAUCACAUGGAGCAAUUUCAUUUAUUUUUGAAAAUAUAACAAAAUUUCAGAUAAAAAUAGAUUGCGCUCCUUUGGUCAUAAUUCUUGAAAAAAAUAGUAAAAAUCCUUAUUAAAUUCUAAAAAUUUAACAUGUUGUAUACAAGAUCUGGAGGAAAAUAUUUCGUGAAGAACACCAAAUCAAAAGAGCAUCACACAAAUCAGUACAAUUCACGCACCACAGUUCUUAAAAUUUCAGAAUAUUGCCAUGCACAGUUUUAUUCACAAAUUGGGUAAAAAUCCUAAAUCAGCUCUAAAAAUUCUGAAAUUUUUAUAUGUUAUAUAUAAUGUCUAGAAGUAAAUAUUUUAUGAAGAACUUGAAAUCAUAUUUGUGAUAUAUUAAAAACUAUAAUCACCGUAGCCAACUCUAACCCUUGGCAAAAAUUCCCAGAUCUGACCAUUUUAAAUAAAAUCAUUUCACCAACCUAAACUAAUCCAUUUCCUCUAAAAUUUUAUUAUGUUACUCAUUAACAUGUCAUCACCAACUUUCAUUCAAAAUACAAGAUCAAAUUUCAACCGGAAAAUUUUAUAAAAUUCACAGAAUCAUACUAAGUCAGCAUUUCGAUUCCAGAUCUGACUUCUCCAAAGAAAAAUAGUUUCACCGGUCUAUACUUGUUCAUUUCUUCUGAAAUUUUGAUAUGUUACUCAAUAAGAAGUUCUCUACAACUUUCAUCAAGAAGUCAAAAUGAAAUUCCAACUAAAAAGUUGCUUUACAGUUCACGAAAUUACCAAAGGUCAGCACAACAAAUUCCAGAUCUAGUUUCUCCAAAGAAAAAUCAUUUUACUAACCAAUACUUGUUAUUUUUACCUCAAAUUUUAGUAUGUUAUUCCUCAAGAUGUCCCCUACAACUUUUGUUAAGAGAUCGAAGUGAUAUUCCAUCUAAAAAGUCACAUGCAGCUCACAAACUCAUGAAGGGUCGGACUGAUUUUUCCAGAAAACAGCAUGCUAGCCCAACAAAUUUCUCCCCAAAGCUCUGAAAUUUCAUCACUUCCACCACAACCAAAGUUUAUCAUCCCUUACAACACAUAUCACAGCAAGCAAAGGGUAGGUUUUAGGAAUCUACUUGCCUCAAAUCUGAGCACAAACACAACGACAAACGGUGGGCAGGGCGGCGAACGAAGUCCUCCUUCUCUUCUCGCACGCACGGUCUCCCC